ACUUCACAAAUCAACGCCUCUAUUUCCCAAUUGACCGGUGUACUUUCCAUCAAAGACUUCGCUAGUUCCCAGUUGUCUGACUCCAACUCUAUCUCAUGUUCUUCUUUCCCUUCGAAGUACUUUAGGGUUUGUAAUAUAGCUUGUGCCUCCACCUAGAUUGCUAAAGAAGCUUUGACCGUGCGCGCUAAUCCAUCGACAAGGGUGCCUCUGCUGUCUCGGCAGACACAAGCCACAACCGCUUCCCCUGUUUCUUGAAGAAAGGAGCCAUCCACAUUGAUCUUUAUCGCACCGUGCGCUGGAGGCAUCCAGAUCUGAGGGGGGCCGUUUGUCGGAGGGUUGCUGUGCUGGUGCGCGCCGGGCGUCGCAACGGUCCCUGUGUGACGCGAGCUGUGCGGCCGAGCCAUCUCGGUCGGAGAUGAGCUUACCAUUUGAUGCGUCCCAUUCCGGAGCGAACUGAGCGGGUUCGUCUCUAUCCACAGCGAGCUGUGCAUCGGAGGGGGCCCUGUCAAAGGCGAGCCUUGCAACAAGGUGUUCCGGAUCUGCGACAAGCCGUGCGUUGAAGGAAUCGAAGUCUGAACCGAGGUAGGCGUCCAGAUCUGAGGUGGGUAGGUCUACAUCUGCUCUUUUUUGCUCUGUUUUCCCACCCACCAGUUAAAGUUUUCUUCCAUGGCUGCUGCUGAGGUGAUGAUGUGCUGAGGACUCACCGGUUUAGCUCUGGAACAUCAGUCAUUGCGGGAUUUCCAGAUCUGCCACAGUAAGAGGGCGAGUCGCUCGAAAGAAACUGAGUGCCAUCCCAGAUUUGGUUCGUCCAUGGACAAAGGAGAAAGAGAUGCUCGAUUGAUUAUGGAUGUCUUUUGCAAAUCGUGCAUGUGGCCUCAGCCGUACCGUUAGCUUGGAAAUGGGCAGUCAACCCUCGACCACACAUUUUCCACGUGAGAGAUUCGUGUUUUGCUUGGAAAUUUCCACUCACUUUUGUCGGAAAAAAGGAGAAUUUUGUGGCCAUCUAUUGACGGCUAAGACGUCAGACGGUGCAUGACAAAUCCGAUCUCAUGCACUAGACUUUGUUCCCCACAGUCAAUCUCAUGGACAGAUGUGCGAGAAUGACGGUGCGUUUUCAUCAAACAGCAGCAAUCGGGAAGGUCACAGCAGUACAUAGAAAGUACUGUGCAUCGAAAUUUGGUUACUCAUCAAAAUGGGAAACUGCUAACUUUCUAUUCGGAUAGAUAAAGAAUCCGUAGCAUGAGCCCCAGCUUACAACUUCUACUACGCUUCUACGUACUAACGUUUCUUUUACUGAGAAAAAUUGGCUGAAAAAUAAAUCUUAGCAACUUGGGUUGCGCUUAGGAAUUGGU